GACGAACGCUGGCGGCGUGCCUAACACAUGCAAGUCGAACGGAGUUACCCUUCGGGGUAACUUAGUGGCGAACGGGUGAGUAACGCGUGAGAAACCUGCCUUUCAGUGGGGGACAACAGUUGGAAACGACUGCUAAUACCGCAUAAUGUUAUUUGGGGGCAUCCCUGAAUAACCAAAGAUUUAUUGCUGAAAGAUGGUCUCGCGUCUGAUUAGCUAGUUGGUAGGGUAACGGCCUACCAAGGCGACGAUCAGUAGCCGGUCUGAGAGGAUGAACGGCCACAUGGGGACUGAGAUACGGCCCAGACUCCUACGGGAGGCAGCAGUGGGGAAUAUUGGGCAAUGGGGGAAACCCUGACCCAGCAACGCCGCGUGAAGGAAGAAGGCCUUCGGGUUGUAAACUUCUUUUACCAGGGACGAAGAACGUGACGGUACCUGGAGAAAAAGCAACGGCUAACUACGUGCCAGCCGCCGCCGUAAAAC
rnacentral:rRNA from 1 species